CCAUGGCAGUGGAGCAGGAGGAUGAGGUAGCCAACACUGUUUUUAUAUACACAUAUAUAUAUAUAUAUAUAUAUAUAUAUAUUUUAAUUGGAGUAGCCCCCAAAAUAUUGGGACACAUAAAUAUAGACAACUCUGUUUCGCAGAGUAGCUGUUGACAUUAUAGUUGCGCAGGAACAUUUGUUGACUCUAGAGAACCUCGGGCAAAUCGCACAUCCCCGUGGUGGCGACUUUGCAUGCGGAUGUCAUAUCAACUUUCGAUGCCAGUUUCUGCGCCUACCAUGGUGACCACGGGUAACGGGGAAUCAGGGUUCCGUUCCAUACAGGGACCCUGAGAAAUGGCUACCACAUGCAAGGAAAGCAGCAGG